rnacentral:rRNA from 1 species
AUUCACCAUUGUCUUUUGCGUACUUCUUGUUUCCUUGGUGGGUUCGCCCACCACUAGGACAAACAUAAACCUUUUGUAAUUGCAAUCAGCGUCAGUAACAAAUUAAUAAUUACAACUUUCAACAACGGAUCUCUUGGUUCUGGCAUCGAUGAAGAACGCAGCGAAAUGCGAUAAGUAGUGUGAAUUGCAGAAUUCAGUGAAUCAUCGAAUCUUUGAACGCACAUUGCGCCCUUUGGUAUUCCAAAGGGCAUGCCUGUUCGAGCGUCAUUUGUACCCUCAAGCUUUGCUUGGUGUUGGGCGUCUUGUCUCUAGCUUUGCUGGAGACUCGCCUUAAAGUAAUUGGCAGCCGGCCUACUGGUUUCGGAGCGCAGCACAAGUCGCACUCUCUAUCAGCAAAGGUCUAGCAUCCAUUAAGCCUUUUUUUCAACUUUUGACCUCGGAUCAGGUAGGGAUACCCGCUGAACUUAAG